rnacentral:rRNA from 1 species
CCUUAUAGUGGGGGAGUAGCCUUUCGUAAAGGAAGAUUAAUACCGCAUAAGAUUGUAGUAUCGCAUGAUAUAGCAAUUAAAGGAGCAAUCCGCUAUAAGAUGGACCCGCGUCGCAUUAGCUAGUUGGUGAGGUAAUGGCUCACCAAGGCGACGAUGCGUAGCCGACCUGAGAGGGUGAUCGGCCACAUUGGGACUGAGACACGGCCCAGACUCCUACGGGAGGCAGCAUG